rnacentral:rRNA from 1 species
AUUGAACGCUGGCGGCAUGCUUUACACAUGCAAGUCGAACGGUAACAGGGUGCUUGCACCGCUGACGAGUGGCGAACGGGUGAGUAAUGCGUCGGAACGUGCCGAGUAGUGGGGGAUAACGCAGCGAAAGUUGCGCCAAUACCGCAUACGUACUGAGGUAGAAAGUGGGGGACCUUCGGGCCUCACGCUAUUCGAGCGGCCGACGUCUGAUUAGCUAGUAGGUGAGGUAAAGGCUCACCUAGGCGACGAUCAGUAGCGGGUCUGAGAGGAUGGUCCGCCACACUGGGACUGAGCCACGGCCCAGACUCCUACGGGAGGCAGCAGUGGGGAAUUUUGGACAAUGGGCGAAAGCCUGAUCCAGCCAUGCCGCGUGUCUGAAGAAGGCCUUCGGGUUGUAAAGGACUUUUGUCAGGGAGGAAAUUCCUAGCGUUAAUACCGCUGGGGGAUGACAGUACCUGAAGAAUAAGCACCGGCUAACUACGUGCCAGCCGCCGCCGUAA